rnacentral:lncRNA from 1 species
ACGUUUACAGGGUGGAGGUGGAAAUUAAAUUUAGGGAGCCAUGAGGAAGACCCCCAGCCCUGUGCCUUUUGAAUUGACAACCAUGGCAUUUCAGGGCAUCAGCUCCAGGUCAGGCAUUCUCAGGCAGUUGCAUAAUUCUGCCAAUGUGGGGCCCGCCCACCUCAAAAAUCCACAUGGAUUGGAUCCAGCAAAACCAAAUAUUCAGCAAAACUUCAAGAUCUAGCAACACUGAAGGCUCAAGUACAUCACCGGUGCAUACUUGGCCCAAGGAGGCUAUUCUCUCACAAUCUCUACCCAGCUCCGGGCCUGCAGCAUCUGAGACUCACUCCUUCAAGCUGCAGGUAUCCCAGGAAAAAGAUUUAUGCAUCCUCAUAGCUUCAACAUGCAGUGUGUCAGGCACAGAAAAAUGGUUGUCUUCAGAAAGUGAUAAAAAAAACAUGCAGUAGCAAUCACCCUUUGGACUUUGAAACUUUUCUGUCACCUUAGAUGUCAGAAACUAAAACCCAGAAACUUGGUGUUGGCAUUAAUUUGGUCUAGCUAUGAAGACUUUUUUUUUUUUUUUUUCACACAGUGACAGUUCUGAAUUUGAAUAUAAAGGAGCUUAGGUGCUAUAAUCUGAAUGGAACGUGGGAAUAAAACUGUCUUUGCCUUGUACUUCUUGUUAGAUUAAUUAAAUACCAAUUAUCAGUAUAAGAAAAUGGCAAUAAAUUGUCAAAGUGGAAUUGG